rnacentral:rRNA from 1 species
AGCGAACGCUGGCGGCAGGCCUAACACAUGCAGGUCGAACGAAGCCUUCGGGCUUAGUGGCGGACGGGUGAGUAACACGUGGGAACGUACCUUUUGGUUCGGAACAACUCAGGGAAACUUGAGCUAAUACCGGAUGAGCCCUUAGGGGGAAAGAUUUAUCGCCGAAAGAGCGGCCCGCGUUAGAUUAGCUAGUUGGUGAGGUAAAGGCUCACCAAGGCAACGAUCUAUAGCUGGUCUGAGAGGAUGAUCAGCCACACUGGGACUGAGACACGGCCCAGACUCCUACGGGAGGCAGCAGUGGGGAAUCUUGCGCAAUGGGCGAAAGCCUGACGCAGCCAUGCCGCGUGAAUGAUGAAGGUCUUAGGAUUGUAAAAUUCUUUUACCAGGGACGAUAAUGACGGUAGUCGGAGAAGAAGCCCCGGCUAACUUCGUGCCAGCAGCCGCAGUAAAAC